rnacentral:lncRNA from 1 species
UGGGAUGGGUCAAAAUAAAAGGCUUUAGUCUAGGUUUUCAGCUCCAUAGUCCAAAUACGCAGUCUCCGUUGGCCAGGGAAUUUUCUUCCCAAAGCCAUCAUUGAUUCAUCGAGAGAAAUCAUUGCCUGAGGAGGAUCAACAGGAAACAGUAAGUGUUUUAUUUAUUUACUUAUUUGGGAUAACUUCUUUUUUUUUCAAUUUAGAAUAUAAUCAGAUUUGAUCCUUUGAAAAUUCUUUAAGAUCUGCGGUAUUCUUUGUACUUCAAUAGAAUUUCAAGAUAUUCUGUUUGCAAGUCAAUUAUUCCUAUUUAGAAGAUCAGCAAAACGUCAAUCCACAUGUUUUACUCUGCAAAUACAUAAGGGCAGCCUCGUGCACAAAUCAUGUGCAGGGCCUACUUUGGAAAUGCAUAUUUAAAUAAUUAAAUCGUGGUUCAGGGAAAUUUUCAACUCUAGAUGUAUCAUUUGUGAAGGGAACAAUACAGAAUUAGCACUUAUCAUUGCAACCCUUAUUCAAAUGUAGAUAUUAAUUUCCGGAGACGGAAGACAAGAUGCCAUCGGCAGUGUUCUUGUUGUGGCUGCAAAGUUUGGAUAAGGCUAAGAAUGGCCUCCACUAAACGAGCUUGCUGAGCUUGAAAUGCUAAAAUCUAAGGGCCUCAACAUGAUGUCCAACCAAUAUGUUAAUUUCAAUAGAGAUUGAUGAAGCUGAGUUGACUUUUAAAAAAUUGGAAAUAUUUAUGCAGAUGUGGACGAGGGAAAAGUGUUGUGAUCGCAUGAGUUUAUUUGAUAAUGAUUUGAGGGAAUUCCUUGUUUUGCGGGAGCAACAGUCGUCCAAUUUACGUCCCAAAUGUUUCUAAUAUCAACUUCAACUCAGACAAAUAUGUGAUUUGAUUUGUCUGCAUUGAAUCAUUAUUAAAUUUACAUCUUUAUCUGAGUUGAUAAGAUGAUCCCUAAGACAUGUAUACUCCAUGAAAGAUUUCUCAAGAUGGUCUCCAUUGCAUCGGUGGCUUCAAAACAAGGGAUUUUCAUCAGUUCAUUUUGUAACUUGAUAUUGAAUGACUUGUGUUGAGAACGACAGUUUUCUUUUUCCAAAUUUGUAUUAAUAUUUGAUUUUUGAGAAGUUAACUCCAGCUCCAUCAAGCUCUCUUGCACUUUGAACGUGAAGAUAUGUUGAGUUCCUUAGUUUUUGUCAUCUCUUUUGAUGUAAACAUUUGCAAACGAUUACUUACUCGCAACAGGCUAUCUGUGCUCACCAUCACAUGAGAAAGCUCAGCUCACCAACUGACUCGUCAAUAUAAGGUACCUGUCAUAAUUGCUGACUUUUCAGCUUUUACUUCUUAAUUAGUUAUUCUUUUUAAUUCUUGUUGAUCUCAAAAAGGGGGAGGAUGGUAACAGUUUAUUACAAUUAAAUGAAGAAGCUAAAAAGAAGAAUGACAAAGAAUUCCUCCAUUAAUAGAAGUAUUGUGGAAAAGCUGACUAUAUUGCUUUCAGUGGCUGGUGAACCUUUCAAAACUGGCAAAUUACUUUUAUCUUAUUGUUGAAUGCAAUACUAAAAAAUGUACAAGUGACUACAGAAACAGUAACACAAGCUAUAAAAGAGGAGAGGUUUCCCUUGCCGGUAUAUAAUGGUAUUGAGAUUCUUUUAUUUAGUAAUGUAUUCUUUGUUAACUUGUGCUCUCAAGUUAUGCUGUCUUUGCUAAAAGUAACACUUAAUUCCCUUUUAACUGUUGGUUGAAAACUGAACCUAAUACAACUUGAUUCAGGGGCUAUGAUGCCAUAAAAGUUAUCCAAAUCUUUCUGCUGUGUACUUGACAUCAAAGGUAUAUUGAUCACAUAGGGCUUACAUUACUCCCUUGAAUUUCUGAUUUUUUUGUUCUGUACAUAGUGAUAUAAUUCAUCAAUGAGCAUGAAAAGGAUACAAUCAAACAUCUGAUUACUGCUACGUUAUCAUGCCAAAAGAGUUUCAUUCACAUGGAUUGAUACAAGUCACUGAGGAUCCAAAAGAUGAUCUGGUAUUAAUUGAUAGAAUGGCUCUAAGUUGGAAGAUCUGCAUAAGAUAUUUUGGCUAACCCAUAUUGUCUAUACGUUUUUUCAAUAUAUUUUGCAUAUAUUGUUGAUGAAAUUUGUGCCAUUGUGUAUAUUUGUUACGCCAGAUUUUAAUGUUCUAUGUUUUGUUCAUACUGAAAGACAAUUAUCUUCAAGAAAGACGAUUACUAUGAGGCAAGCCAAAGGAAAUAAAAAAUGAACUGCAGUAGGUCCAGCGUGAUGUUGAUCCUGAAGGCUAUUUGGUGUGUUGAAUCUUGGUUCUUUCAAAACAUUUUUAUGUCUACCUAAUCAACUUUGGUAAUCUAAUAGGAUGUUUACCUAAUCAAGUUUAGUAGUCUAUUAGUAUGAAGGCUCUUCCUUGUUGCUGGUUCGUUCGAUUGGAACUGAAUUUCAGAAAGCUCGAUGUUUGCAUAAUGACGUCGACCGUUGGGCCAAUUCCAACACAUUGAACAGUGAACAUAAGCCAUAUUUGCCGCACGGGCUCAGGGCGGCUGAAUCACAAUAGUGGCCUAAAGCUAAAACUAUUUAUGAGGCCUUCAACUUUUUCUGAUGAGAUUUCAUAUAUAUUUUAUCUGAUAUGCAUUUUUCUUGCUUUUUGGGUCAAAAGUUGAAUUAUAAUCAAAC